rnacentral:lncRNA from 1 species
UGGGAUCUCGCGUCUCCCGCAACGGUUCCGGGAAAGCGCAACUACCGUGAUUCUGUGAGAUCGUGUUUCCGCUUUUUGGGGGACGGGUACCGGCUCGGUAUAUGGCUCUGGUCAGUAUUCGUCUCUGAUCGGCUCAUGUGACCCCUGCUCUGCUCGUACCAUUUGGCUGAGGUGAUUCAUGCCGAGGUGGAAAUAGUAGCAUGGCUGACCUGGUGCUUUUAUUUGCUUAACACC